UUUUGCCACAUUAGAGCUUGGAGAGCUAGGUGAUUAGAGAGAGAAAUUAGAGAGAGAAAGUGGCAAAACGUGAUUCACGGAGCUUGUAUUCGUCACAUAAUAAAUAGAAUCACCGACUAGUGUACGUUCUCAUGUGUUCGGUCACGCACGUUCACGGAUUCCGCACAUUGAACGUGUCGUUACGCAAUCGAUUCGGAGCGAAAACCGGACCUACAAUUGGUAUCAAAGCAGGUGCUCGGUUUCGAAGAUAAAACUCACAGAUUCGUACAAGUUUUGAGCAGAUUCAGAGCCAAAAUCAUUCAUAUUUGUCAAAUUUCUUCAUAUUUUCUUGUUCUUCACGUUUUUAACUGAAUUUUGACUGAUUGAAGAGGUUUUCACGGUCGAAAAUUGCUGAUUUUUGGAUAUGAUGUGCGAAAACACUUGAUCUACAAGCCUACAAAUUUUCAGAUCUUAAUUCUUAACGAUUUGGGAGAAAUCUUGAAUUUUUGGUUCGAAAAGGGUGAGAUGUGUUUGCUGUUGAUGUUGAAGAUGCCAACCGAUCGGCUAGCCCAGCCGAUCGGCUAGCCCGGCCGAUCGGCUAGCAUCUCUAACCGUUCCACUGACACAGGCAUUCAUUAAAGCAUUGACUUUGUUGACCCUGGCCGAUCGAACAGCAUCACCGAACGACCAGCUUUUCAGUUCGAUUCACCGCUUAUUCAACCAAUCGAUUAAUAUCCAUCAUAUAAGUCAACAGCCAUCUUUAUGAAAUAACAAGAUAUCACGUGAUUUUGUCUAUGCAUUUUAAUUAGUUAUCGGCUAGUUAUUCAAGAAGUGAGGUCCUAUGAGAAUUAAGUGCCACUUAACAAAUGCACGUGCUAUGUUAAAGAGUUGAGCAACCAAAUAAGUGCAUUACUCUUUGUCGGCCAAUAUCAUGUGAUUGAUUGAUUAACGGUUGCACAUAUAAUCAUACAUUGGUACAUGUAUUUCAAAAUGAGGUUCAAUAGCAUUGGAGCUAAGUGGAAUUAUAAGGCCCAAUAGAGAUUAAGUUGAGUCAUAUAUUUGUCGGCACCCAUCUGAAUUGCAACUAUUGCAUGUGAUGAUCUGACAAUUUGCAGCUCAUUAAUUGUCUCGUAUUAGAUUGAUUGCAUGUGAAGCUUUUGAUAGUUAUCAGCCAUUAAUUGUGCAUGUGAAUAGUGUUGUACUCAAAGUUGCACUUGGUUAUCGGCCAGCCGUUCAACAUUAUAGUGACAUCAAUCGGCCAACAACUUGGAUCGGCUGGCGUAGCCGAUCGAACAGCAGUCAUAGGUGAAACAUUGGAUCGGCUGGCGUAGCCGAUCGAACAGCAGCAGUUUUUGUUCGAUCGAACACCACUGUUUCCCAGCCGAUCGAACCGGCCACUCGAUCGGCUAGCAAAACUUCCUGUUCAAUCGAACCAGCCACUCGAUCGGCUAGGAAGUGUUCCAAUCGAAUAGCAUCAUCGAACGGCUAGCAUCACUGAUAACUUUCAACCAAUCGAAUAGAAACUUGGAUCGGCUGGCGUAGCCGAUCGAACAGCAGCAUUUAUUGUUUGGCUGGGAAUAGCAUCACUGUCACUGCAUAUCAUUAAAAACCAUUGACUUUUUGACUUCACCGAUCGAUCAACAAGUUGUUUUAUUACACAUCACUUGUUCAGACAUUAAAGUCAACAUUGGUCAGUCUUUAUCAGUCAAAGUUCUUUAAAAACUAAUCGAGAUGCAGGUUCGACUCCCACUUGGUGCAGAGUGAGGCACUGGUGGGCAAUGAUAGGAGACCCAGGGAAACCUGGGUUGGAUCCUUGAGCCAAACGGGUUUUACCGGUAAUUUCACUGUCGUGCCUACGGGCGGGUGGGUUACCGGGUUUUCCCCGGAAUUGGUGGUGGACUCGGGUUACUCUCGGAGUACUCCGUUUGUCCAGUGGGUGCCCCGAGAAUGCUCGGGAUUGAGUUUGUUGGCCGUUCAAAAAAAAAAAAAACUAAUCGGUUGUUGCAUGUGAAGAUAUUAAAAAUUGUCAGGCCAUUUAAAUUGAACAACUAUUUUGUCAACCAUUUUAAUAUUUGGCCCAAUCAACGAACUUGACUAAAGUUGGACGGCAUAUUUCUCUUUUAGUACCAUUAGUUGAAGUGAAAGCCGAUCAAACAAAAUUUUUGUCGUGUAGUGAUUGUCGUGAAGUGUCUUCAAUCGGCUAGCAAGCUCGAUCGGCUAGCAACCUCGAUCGGCCAGCAAAUUGUUUUGCUUCGGCUAGCUAACUCGAUCGGCUAGAAAGUUUUUCAAUCGAGUAGCUCACUCGAUCGGAUAGCAAGUUUCUUUAAUCGAGUAGCUCACUCGAUCGGCUAGCAAUAGUGUUGUCUUGUUCGAGUAGCAAGUGAUUCGGCUAGCAUUCCUAGCCGAACGGAUAGCAUCUUUGUGUGAAACAUUUCCAAUCGGUUAGCUCAACCGAUCGACCAACUUUCUCGUCAAAACGCCAACCGAUCGAACAACAAGAUGACUUUUUGUUGACUCACUCGAUCGAACAGCGUUUCUGUCCGAUCGAUCAGCAUACUGCCCGAUCGAUCAACCUUCCGUCCGAUUCAGUUGUUUGAUAUUUUUAAACUGAUCAUUUGCUUGUUUGAUUGUUCGCAGCUGAUUAGAGGCAAUUUUACAAGGUGCAAAUUCCGAGAAGUUGAAAUUGUGUGAAGCUUUGAGCGAAACAAUUUCUAAACCAAGACAUUUAACAAAAGAACUUGUGGUAAAAAUGUUUGACGAACAGGAAAACAUUAAAUUUGAAAGAUCAAACAAUUGGUAUAGUGGAAACAUGAGAAGUUUAAUGAUCUGGAAAAGCGAUAUGAUGAUUUACUUAAAGGUUUGAGAAUGCAUUACGUAACGAUAUCAGACGCCGAACAGAAAUCUAAGUUUGCAGAUGCAUUACCUUUAGAGUGGGAUGAAUUUGUGUGUAAAGUGAAAAAGGAUUCUAGGUUCUCAAAAUUUAAUCCAGGUGAUUUCAUCAGAGAGCUUAGAACACAAAAUUGUGAAAUUGAGAAGAAAAAGAAAGAGUUGAU
rnacentral:lncRNA from 1 species